GACGAACGCUGGCGGCGUGCCUAACACAUGCAAGUCGAGCGGAGACAGUAGCAAUAUUGUCUUAGCGGCGGACGGGUGAGUAACACGUGGGCAACCUGCCUCUAUCCGGGGGAUAACAUCGGGAAACCGGUGCUAAUACCGCAUAACAUCGCGUCACCGCAUGGUGGUGCGAUCAAAGGAGCAAUCCGGAAAGAGAUGGGCCCGCGUCCGAUUAGAUAGUUGGUGGGGUAACGGCCUACCAAGUCUGCGAUCGGUAGCCGGACUGAGAGGUUGAUCGGCCACAGUGGGACUGAGAUACGGCCCAGACUCCUACGGGGGGCAGCAGUGGGGAAUAUUGCACAAUGGGGGAAACCCUGAUGCAGCAACGCCGCGUGAAGGAUGAAGGUUUUCGGAUUGUAAACUUCUUUGACCGGGGACGAAACAAAUGACGGUACCCGGAAAGCAAGCCACGGCUAACUACGUGCCAGCCGCCGCCGUAAGAC
rnacentral:rRNA from 1 species